rnacentral:rRNA from 1 species
GACGAGGGAUCCUAGCGUUGUUCGGAAUCAUUGGGCGUAAAGCGUGUGUAGGUGGCUAUUCAAGUCAGUUGUGAAAUCCCCGGGCUUAACCCGGGAAGUGUUUCUGAUACUGUUUAGCUUGAGUACUGGAGAGGAUAGUAGAAUUCCUGGUGUAGUGGUGAAAUACGUAGAUAUCAGGAGGAAUACCGGUGGCGAAGGCGGCUAUCUGGCCAUGUACUGACGCUGAGACACGAAAGCGUGGGGAGCAAACAGG